GUUGUCCUUGCAUGUCUCCUUUGUCCACUUCUGUUGCACAGCUUACUUUAGUAGGUAGAUCAACUCCCGGUGAACUGUCGUUCCAGAUAUUUCACCUCAAUUAUUCUCGACAGUUCACCUCACUCCAGCCCUGUUUGGAUAUCAACCGUCGAUGUUAACAGAUAAUCUGUCGAUAUCGGUAGUUGAUGUCAGUUUUUCUCGACAGUUCACUUAGUCCAUGCAUGAGUUCGAUUCAUUAAAUGUUACAUGUGAUAUAUUAUGUUUAACAUUAUCAUGUAACCCCAGACUUUUUCUCACUGGACCUUGCAGGACAUAUGUAGUUCGAAUUCCUCAUUCCAAAAGAUGCACGGUUGCGGGUCCAUAUUUCCCAACGAACCAACCUUAAGGAUGUGGGGUUAAUUUAGAGUGGAUGGACGGAAUUUGAAAAUUAUGAAUGGUUAUGUACACUAAUAUUUGUUUUACAAUGAAGACACUAGAAACUCUUUCCAUGUUCAUAGGUCACGGCGAUUGAUUUCCAAAUUUACUUGGAGAUUGGACUUGGUGGUUAGGUAAUAAAUUUGAGUAAUUGCUUCCUCUAUUCAAGUUGUUUAUAAAUAGCAUGUUGCAAUUGUCAAUUACACACAAGUUAUUUCAUGAGUAUUGUGAGACUCUCACCUUCUCACCUACACAAAUCGUUUCAACAAUUUUAGUGCAUCGACAUAAUGAGUUUGUCCACGACAAGCAACAAACCGUUCAACAUGAACGAGCCUUUACCAGUUUUCGAUUCAUUCCCGUUAUUUCCAAUCUACAAUUCGAUUUCAUUGCAAGGCUCAACAUUACCAAGUUUAUCCUUCAGCCAUAACACAAGUUCUGCUACGGUAAUACUUCUCAACGCUAAAAUGGAAGUAGUUUUGUCCCCUAUCCACUUCCAUUCGUUAUUCACAUGAACAAACUUUCCUCCAUACGACACGAUAAAUCUCAAAUGAUGACUCA
rnacentral:lncRNA from 1 species